ACAUGCAGUCGAGCGGACAGAUGGGAGCUUGCUCCCUGAUGUUAGCGGCGGACGGGUGAGUAACACGUGGGUAACCUGCCUGUAAGACUGGGAUAACUCCGGGAAACCGGGGCUAAUACCGGAUGGUUGUUUGAACCGCAUGGUUCAGACAUAAAAGGUGGCUUCGGCUACCACUUACAGAUGGACCCGCGGCGCAUUAGCUAGUUGGUGAGGUAACGGCUCACCAAGGCGACGAUGCGUAGCCGACCUGAGAGGGUGAUCGGCCACACUGGGACUGAGACACGGCCCAGACUCCUACGGGAGGCAGCAGUAGGGAAUCUUCCGCAAUGGACGAAAGUCUGACGGAGCAACGCCGCGUGAGUGAUGAAGGUUUUCGGAUCGUAAAGCUCUGUUGUUAGGGAAGAACAAGUGCCGUUCAAAUAGGGCGGCACCUUGACGGUACCUAACCAGAAAGCCACGGCUAACUACGUGCCAGCAGCCGCGGUAAUACGUAGGUGGCAAGCGUUGUCCGGAAUUAUUGGGCGUAAAGGGCUCGCAGGCGGUUUCUUAAGUCUGAUGUGAAAGCCCCCGGCUCAACCGGGGAGGGUCAUUGGAAACUGGGGAACUUGAGUGCAGAAGAGGAGAGUGGAAUUCCACGUGUAGCGGUGAAAUGCGUAGAGAUGUGGAGGAACACCAGUGGCGAAGGCGACUCUCUGGUCUGUAACUGACGCUGAGGAGCGAAAGCGUGGGGAGCGAACAGGAUUAGAUACCCUGGUAGUCCACGCCGUAAACGAUGAGUGCUAAGUGUUAGGGGGUUUCCGCCCCUUAGUGCUGCAGCUAACGCAUUAAGCACUCCGCCUGGGGAGUACGGUCGCAAGACUGAAACUCAAAGGAAUUGACGGGGGCCCGCACAAGCGGUGGAGCAUGUGGUUUAAUUCCAAGCAACGCGAAGAACCUUACCAGGUCUUGACAUCCUCUGACAAUCC
rnacentral:rRNA from 1 species